AAGAAAAAAAAUGCUUGGGUCCACUGUGACCCUGUGCAUUUCUACAGUACUUUCCAGGACAGUUUUGAGGCAGUUUGAGGCCUUGUUCUGCUCCAUCCUGAGCAAGGUUAUAGAAAUUUCAGACAUUU
rnacentral:snoRNA from 1 species